AGAAGGAAAACAGCCCCGUGCGGCUGAGUUCAACCAGGGCUGCCUUUCUCCACCGUGUCCGCCAUUCUGGUCUCGUGCCGCAGCAGGCAUUGCUAGAUGAUUGCCGUCAUGGCUCAUACUAACAAUAAAUAGGUCCUCCCGGGGACCCACCACCCAAACUCCUUGUGCCGGGAACAGCUACUAAAGGGGAGGCCCUUUCCAUAUUCCGCUUCAUUCUCCCCUCCUGGCGUGCCUCAAGGAACGACCACUGUCCCCAGGUUACAGGUGCUUCUUCACCCCAACAAGGCUCAAUCAAGUGUGUUCUUCUCUGGGAAGCUGCAGACAUCUGACCCCAGGCCACAGAGUCAUACCCAGUCUGGCUCCCACAGCCCUCCCAGGCUGUCUGGUGUCAGUGCAGUGCUGUGGAUGGGAACACACCUCUACCAUGUUGAGCUGCUCUGAGGUUUAAAUGCGUUACUGCUAAUUGGGAUCUUGGAACAACUCCUGGUGCAUAGACACACACAGGACAGACUGGAAUAAAUACUGGUGGUUUAUCACAGGAAGGCUGGCCUCAGCUUGGGAGAGUAAGCGUGCAUGCAUACACAGCCAGCUGAUUUAUUGUGACCCGAGCCAAGCACUGAACAGAGCGAGGCCAUUUAUCUACUUGGUUGGAGGAGAGGUCAAGAGAGAGAAGUCAGAGAUUAAGCUAAAUAGUUCAGUGCCUUUGUUAACUCCCGGGGCGUCUCCUCUGCGCGGCUUGUGUUCCCAGGGAAUACUGUCAUGAGCUCCACAGGGAAGACUGGACUCCUUCUUGGGGAGACAGCCCUGGCCCCAGGGAGCAGCGUGGCCAAGGACAUUCUCAGCCUCUUGGGGUUGCCAAAAGGGAGCAGAAGCAGGAGGAGGGAGGGGGGGAGCUGGGAGGAACACCCCAUCGUGGAAGACCUGCUGCCAAUGCGGGGCUGCAGUCCCAGUCUCUGCCGCCACCAGACCCUGGUCAGGAGACAUCACAGACAGGCUCCCUUCUCCCGCCUUCAUUCAGGGCUCUGCUCAAACAGCCCAUUUGCAAUAGGACUUCCUGCAGUGUCCUAGUUAAAUACCCCAACCCAUGCCCCCAUCGUACGCUAUCCCUUCCCCUGCUUUAUGUUUCUUCAUGGUGCUCAGCACCCUGACAUAUCUAUGUCUGUAUUUGUUUACUUAUUGUUGGGUCUGUUUUUGAAUGAAGUGCUAUGUCUGUGGUGUAAAGUCCAACAUGUGGCAGAUUCUAGGUGCUCAAUAAAUAUCUAUUCAGUGAAUGA
ensembl:lncRNA LINC01944 long intergenic non-protein coding RNA 1944